UUUAGCUGAAGAGCCAUUAAUAAAAAAUAUUUAAUGGCAAGUUCCCAUUAAGGCCACUUACCCAAAGUCAUCUAUUCAAUGCUGAAAAGUAGUAAGUAGAAGUGUCAGCUCAUUCUUUUGUGUUGAUUAUAUUAAGUUUUUUCCUCUCUAGUGGUUAAAAAGUGAAUAAUGUUAUUUAAGGCUGAUAAAACCAUGAUAUAUAACUUCUCUAGUUUUUGACGUUUGUAGAUCCUAAUUGAUUGUGUAGUGUAGUGUAGGAGUAUUCACCUGAAGAGUUUACGGUCUUUUGUGAUUGCGUAAGAGUGAAAUUGGCUUAGUUUUUGUUGGUUGAUGAAAUCAUUAGGUGUGCGUCAUCUGUUGUAUCAUCUGUGCGUGAAUGUGUGCAGCUGUAAUGACCAAAUCACUGAAUAGUACAUGUGAAAGUAAGACAGAUGUUCACGGUGUCUUACAUCUAUUCUGUACUUUGACCUUUUCAAGGUUCUCACAAAGUCACACUCGCUUGCAAAGAAAAUGCAUAGGCCUAUGUCCUUCAUUAUACAAUUUGCCACGAUUGUCAGAUAUUUCUCUAGUGAAUAAAAAAAGCAUGCAUCAAACCAAAACCCAUCAGAAAUGCCUGUGUUCCCUUGCCAGGGAGUUUAGACAAGUAGGGGAACUAGCUGCUUAGGGUGUGUCAGAAUAAAGAGUGAGUAAUGAUCUGUCAUAAAAAGGCUUACGCAUAGACUGAAAACACAACAAAUGGUGACAGAACAGGUGUAGACAUGGGGGUAUUUGUGCAGCCACGCCUGAACUGUAGAGAAGCAUUGGGAAAGAAAGAAAGGCGUUGGUUCACCUCUGUGACUCACCCCUACUAAGACCUGGAAGAUAUCUGCUGAGCACAAAAUAAGAUAUUUUGAACAAUUUGGUAACCAACAAUAGCAGGUAGCCUUUGGAAGUCAAUACCGUCAACUGUUGAUUACGACAUUCUUCAAAAUAUAUCACCUUUUGUGUUCAACAGAAGAAAGGUGCUCAGGUUUGGAACAAGUGGAGGGUGAAUAAAUGAUAACAGAUGUUUCACUUUUAGGGGAGCUAUCCCUUUAAGGGGUGGUUACACUACACUUUCGUUCCCUUAAGCUCUUCUGAUUUGUCGAAUGCCUCAUCUUGACAGUAGACAGGAGCAGGCAGCUACAGUCAGGGAGGAGUGGAGUAAGUGCAGUCAAGGUGAACCGUUCUUACAAAGCACAUAAACGUGAAUCACACAAUGCCUGCCUGAUAUCAUGUGAUUCACACUCUGUUGCUAAUACACUGAUACUAUUGAAAAUAAAAUGAAAAAUACAACAUGAUAUCAGAGUUUUGGAAUUGAACAAAACAUCACAAUUGUUUAAACCAAUGAGCAUUGAGCUGCAUCAGCAAGUAAUUCUCUAUCAUACCUUCAGUCAGUAAACUUUGGGUGGAGCAAAUGGCAAUCUUUUUUGUGUGUGUCGGCAUGACAUCAGAGCGCGAUGGACCACACUCUGACUCAUUUCUAACUAUUAUGCAUCUCAUGGUGUUCACUGGAGAUUGGUUUAGUGCUGGUUUUGCUCAUCCCAAACAACCCUGCUUACUGCCAUUCAUAUGCACAGGAGUGAAGACGUAUGACCAAUAGAAGAUCAAUGUCACUUCAUGACCUCUUAGCUAAAUUAAAAGAAUGCAAACUUUAAGCCCCAAUCGUCAUAUCUUUGUUAUUAUUAUUCUUCUUCUUACCAGAGACCCUGAAAUAUAUGAUCAGGAUGUGUGAGCAGAGAAUAUUGGGCAAAUGGCUUUGUGUGCUUUUGCUUGGCUAUCUCUUUAUAUUUAUUGUUUUAUUGCACUAUUUGUUUCUGUGAAAGUUCUAGAGUGAAAGUUCCUGACAAGACAGAGAGUCCGUUCACACAGCAAGUUGUGGCUACUGAUUAUGAGGUGGUUUAACAGGAAUAUGUUAUAUCUCAACCUCUUGAAAACAGGAAGGGAGGAUGUCCAUGAGGAUUUGGCAACAACAGUCUCUCAGAGGGCAGAGAUUGGACAAGAAGUGAACCUUAAAUUGCAGUUGGUUCUUAUGCUGCAUUCCAUUCACAGUACCUCAGAUCUCAGAGCGGAGAAUGAGGUAAUACCCAACUGGAGAAAACCAAGAUGGACUCGUCCAUUAUUAGCAGUACCACCUGAUUAAAAAAUAGAGGUGUGAUAGUACUUUAUGUACAACUGAGUUUAUUGAGACACCGACAAACAGAAGUGCUAAUAAAUAUAUUACUACUGUU